UACGUAGGCAGCAAGCGUUGUUCGGAGUUACUGGGCGUAAAGGGCGUGUAGGCGGUUUCUUAAGUUUGGUGUGAAAUCUCCCGGCUUAACCGGGAGGGUGCGGUGAAUACUGAGGGACUAGAGUACGGGAGAGGAAAGUGGAAUUCCUGGUGUAGCGGUGAAAUGCGUAGAUAUCAGGAGGAACACCGGUGGUGUAGACGGCUUUCUGGACCGUAACUGACGCUGAGACACGAAAGCGUGGGUAGCAAACAGG
rnacentral:rRNA from 1 species